ensembl:lncRNA
AUGUGUGUUUGGGUCAUGAAGCACAUGGAGUCGAUCUGCUCAUGCACUGCUUGCAGGAUUGUUGGCUUAAGACGCCUCAUGGGUCCUCCACAUGUCCACGUUCCCUCUGGUCUCCCUCCGCAGAAUGGGAGCCAGGGGCGUCUCCAGGGUGCCGACUUGGCCGAGCUGCUUCAUCAAGCCCCGUCUCCAUGGAGGUGUCCCGGCGCACAGGAUCGUUCCGAGAAAGCACAAUCGGCGACCGAUGAGAGUCUUCCUAGGACACGGCAACACGCGAAGGCCCUCCCACAGCGCAGAGCCGUGUCCGUCCAUGAGGACGCUCUGGCCAUGACUCAAGAGCUGAAGGCAGUGUUACAAAGAUCCCCCAUCCGUUUCCGUGGAAACAGAGGAGACCUGCCCACCUGCACCGAAGAUUCAUCUGGAAGGGAGGAAGCAAAAAUAGCUCCGGAGGCCGGUGACGGGGGGAAACGGGAGCCCGAGGCGGAGCCGGGGAGGACGGGUUGCGAAGAGGAGACCCGGGGCCCGGGGCGUCCGUCCUCUGCAGCUCGGGGUCCGCAAGAAACGUUCGCAGCUCGGCCCGUCCUCGAGAGGCCUCCUGCCGCAACCGAGAGCCCGGAGAGGAAGGCCGCUUUUCCCGCCACGUGGGAGAAGAAGAGCCCGGUCGCUCCGCCGUCGCCGCAAACUUUCGAAAAGCCGACGCCGGGCGAAAAGAGCCCGAGCGCAACGCAAACCCGAUCGCCGGAACACCCCAGGGUGAGCCCCCUGUCCCACAAGAGGCAGAGCCCCGGCACGUCACCGGCCACGGCUGACGCGGGGGGGAGGACGCGCAGUCUCUAAACCGCACACGAUGAAGGCCGAGCCGGCAGACCAAAGAACUGAGCCGCCUCCGUCUGAAUAGCGAGCGCACAGGAGGAGCCACAGGUCUGUGAACGCGGGCGGGAUUGCGACGUUGGGCGGGUGCACUUGAUCCCAGCCAUGUUGGUCAUCUGUUUUUUUUUGGGGAACUUAAAGCCGGGUCAUUGAACCGCUCACUAACACCACCGACUGCCGAGGACGCUGGCAUGCAGGACCACAAGGCGGCUUGGAAGUUGUGCGCACAAACGGGCUUUGUCGUGAUACUUUCGUCCGUUGGCUGUGGAUUACUGCGCUCACGCUGGUCCCGAUCCAUGUACUGUAACAGCGUUUGUGCUACGAGCCAUGCCAUCUCUGGUAGGACAGACCAUGUGACAGGAAGUAGUCUUUGCCACGUUCACGUCAGCCCACUGAGUAACACGUGUGAUGAAGGGAAGCCAUGUUUUUCUUCUUCAUCCUGACGUGGUUUUGAGCUGGAACACAAAUCAGAACCACUUCAAUGAUAAAAAGGCAUGAUAUAAAAUAUCAGAAUGUGAUUGACAAACAUAUUACAGUGUUAGAAGGUGUUUAAUAUCCCUUCUCUUGCCACCCUAUCCCCGUCCAUCUUUAAACCACAGGUGAGAUGGGUUGGCAGGGGGCAGAAAACCGAUGAAUUGGCCAUUUCUGUUUAUGGACCAGGUCCAUUGGCUCCAUCAAGCUCACGGGGAGAGAUGUAACUGUACGUCAGGACCUCAGUAGUUCACCAUGACAAUUCCCUGUUAUUGUUUAAGAUCAUUCUUUAUAUUCCGUUGAGAGAAAAAAAAUAGACAAACGAAACAACGAUACGUGUCUUAUGCCACUUUCUUUAUAGAAGGGCCAACAACUAAACGCAAGGUCCAGUUCAGUCAGUCGGUAUAUGAUCGGUUCAAGAGCCUCGUCACCAUAUUUGGCUCAGUUGUUUUCUCCGGCAGGGGAAUUAUUCAUUCAGCGGAACAGCACAAGACCUUCGACUUUAUAAAGAAAUCGUAAGGUGGUAACUGGGAGGUUUGAAACCAGGCAAAUGUCCGGCUGUGUAAAGCUUAGUUUUUCAUACAAAUUAUGCUCUUGCUAUAAAAAAUGGAAAUGAACACAACAUCUUUAUAAAAAAAUAUAGUUUAUCCAAUGAAAGAAAAUAUGUCAAAACGUGUUUAUUUUCUCACAAUUUGUAUACAUUGAAGAUGAUGUCAAAACACAACCUUUGGUCCCGUUAUGCCAUCCAUGCGAUGAAAAUAUGUCCUGACUUGUUAAGAUGUCUUUAUAUCCACCUUUUUACAAUCUCACAGGGGUCACUAGAGUUCUGCAUGCAUCUGUUGACUCACAUCAGCGUGUGGCAUUCAACUCGAUUUAGGUUCCACCCUCCAUCAAACAACCACACACGUAAUCGUCCCAUCGCGCGACGCCGUAUGACCACACGACGAUGUGCGACAGCGGCAGUGUGUUCGCUCCAUCGAACUCUCAGGGCGGCUGUGAUGAACCUGAGCCUCCGUCUCAUCUCGGGGGAAGAGUUUACUUCCACCCCCCACGUUGCUCUCGGCCUUGCACGCACAGUAUAUGUACAAAGCUACAUGAAGCAAAUAGAAACAGAGCUAUGAACAGAGUGUAAAUCCAUAUCUAUACAUGUUAAUGAUUAAAACGAUUACGUUGUGUCAUGAUCUCGUUGCCUCUUGUUUUGUUUAACGUGUUCCGUCGCUCCUGAAAGUUGAGACGAUGAUCCUCAACUGAUCGGGGUUGCAUUCGAUGCAGACCUUUAUGGAUGUUCAGGAUGUAGUUCCUGGUCCUACAUUUUAUUAGACCGCGGUGACAUAUUAUGCAAAACCUACUCUUAGGUUAGGUCAGCGGUUCCCAAACUUUUUUUCCUGCGCACCCCCUUCCAUGUCUCA